AUCUAGCUGACCAGUCCCAAAUUGGAGAAAACGCGCGUCCUGGAU
rfam:Schistosoma haematobium scaffold46_5, whole genome shotgun sequence.